GCCUACGGGGGGCAGCAGGGAAUCUUCCACAAUGGGCGAAAGCCUGAUGGAGCAACGCCGCGUGGGUGAAGAAGGUCUUCGGAUCGUAAAACCCUGUUGUUAGAGAAGAAAGUGCGUGAGAGUAACUGUUCACGUUUCGACGGUAUCUAACCAGAAAGCCACGGCUAACUACGUGCCAGCAGCCGCGGUAAUACGUAGGUGGCAAGCGUUAUCCGGAUUUAUUGGGCGUAAAGAGAACGCAGGCGGUCUUUUAAGUCUGAUGUGAAAGCCUUCGGCUUAACCGGAGUAGUGCAUUGGAAACUGGG
rnacentral:rRNA from 1 species